rnacentral:rRNA from 1 species
GAUGAACGCUGGCGGCGUGCCUAAUACAUGCAAGUCGAGCGAAUGGAUUAAGAGCUUGCUCUUAUGAAGUUAGCGGCGGACGGGUGAGUAACACGUGGGUAACCUGCCCAUAAGACUGGGAUAACUCCGGGAAACCGGGGCUAAUACCGGAUAACAUUUUGAACCGCAUGGUUCGAAAUUGAAAGGCGGCUGCGGCUGUCACUUAGGGACGGACCCGCGUGGCAUUAGCUAGUUGGUGGGGGAACGGCUCACCAAGGCAACGAUGCGUAGCCGACCUGUGAGCGUGAUCGGCCAGACUGGGACUGAGACACGGCACAGACUACUACGGGAGGCAGCAGUAGGGGAUCUUCCGCAAUGGACGAAAGUCUGACGGAGCAACGCCGCGUGAGUGAUGAAGGCUUUCGGGUCGUAAAACUCUGUUGUUAGGGAAGAACAAGUGCUAGUUGAAUAAGCUGGCACCUUGACGGUACCUAACCAGAAAGCCACGGCUAACUACGUGCCAGCCGCCGCCGUAA